GCCAGACUCCUACGGGAGGCAGCAGUAAGGAAUAUUGCGCAAUGGGCGAAAGCCUGACGCAGCGACGCCGCGUGGGGGAUGAAGGUCUUCGGAUUGUAAACCCCUUUCGGGAGGGAAGAUGGAGCGAGCAAUCGUUCGGACGGUACCUCCAGAAGCAGCCACGGCCAACUUCGUGCCAGCAGCCGCGGUAAUACGAAGGUGGCAAGCGUUGUUCGGAUUCACUGGGCGUACAGGGUGUGUAGGCGGUUUGGUAAGCCUUUCUGUUAAAGCUUCGGGCCCAACCCGGAAGCGCAGAGGGUACUGCCAGGCUAGAGGGUGGAGAGGAGCGCGGAAUUCCCGGUGUAGCGGUGAAAUGCGUAGAGAUCGGGAGGAAGGCCGGUGGCGAAGGCGGCGCUCUGGAACAUACCUGACGCUGAGACACGAAAGCGUGGGGAGCAAACAGGAUUAGGAUACCCUGGUAGUCCACGCCCUAAACUAUGGAUACUAAGUGUACGGCGGGUUACCGCCGGUGCCGCAGCUAACGCAUUAAGUAU
rnacentral:rRNA from 1 species